UACGUAGGGCGCGAGCGUUGUCCGGAAUUAUUGGGCGUAAAGAGCUCGUAGGCGGUGUGUCGCGUCGGCCGUGAAAACCUGCAGCUUAACUGUGGGCGUGCGGUCGAUACGGGCAUCACUGGAGUUCGGCAGGGGAGACUGGAAUUCCUGGUGUAGCGGUGAAAUGCGCAGAUAUCAGGAGGAACACCGGUGGCGAAGGCGGGUCUCUGGGCCGAUACUGACGCUGAGGAGCGAAGGCGUGGGGAGCAAACAGG
rnacentral:rRNA from 1 species